GGGAAGAUAAGACGAGAGGCAAUUGGGCAGAAUAACAGCUGGAGGAAGGUUGUUGCCUGUUGCUGUUAGGGGGAAAUAGGGGACACCUGCUACUACCUCUGCCUUGGGAGGCUUCAACAAGAUGCAGAGUGGGAGUGCUGACUGCAUCUAAAUCUUGCAUCUUCCAUGCAGAAGCAAUGGAACCUAGAAGCAGGAAGAGAGCAUGCUUCCCAUCCACUCAGAUCAGCAACACCCUCUCCUCCUAUUUCCAUCACAGCAACAGUUCCAGAUCUAGCCCUUAAAAACCCUAGGUCCACCGGGAGGAUUCAGAUGACCACCAGCAGCAGGAGGAGGAGCUGCAAGCAGGACAGAAAGGUCUCAUACACUCUUGAAGUCAUCUGAGCAACCUGAUGUUGAAUUGUUUCUGGCCUAGAUUGUUGCAGAUGGACCACACCAGAUUGAGGCUCUGUUGGACCAGCUCCGGAGACUUGCUCUUGAUGAGCCAGUCAUUGAGAUACAGGAAGAUUUGGAUGCCUCAACUUCUCAGGUCCCUGACGAGGCUUCCAGAGUGUUGGCCAGAAGGGCUUCCUGGCUGAUUGUGGCCUGUGCAUGCCCAACAGGCGAAGGGUAGCCCUAGUGUCCUUCAACCCGUGCAGCUUGGCAUCCAUUUGAUCCAAGAACAGACCAACUCUGUCAAAGGGGAGGUCCUGGAUCGAGGCCUGCAUCUCCUGGGAGAGGCCUGCUGUCUGGAGUCAGGAACUAUGUCGCAUGACCACCACUGAUGUGACCACCUUUCCUGCUGAGUCCACCAUGUCCCAUGCAGUCUGCAGGGAGCAUCUGGCCACCAUCAUACCCUUCUCCACCAGAGUUGCACACUCUUGGGCCAAACCCUGAAGGAGGUAUUCCUGGAACUUUUUGAGACCAUCCCAGAGAUUAAAAUUAUACCGGCCCUGCAGGGGCUGAUGGUUCACUACCCAAAAUUGCAGGCUG